rnacentral:tRNA from 1 species
GCCCUCGUAGCUCAGGGGAUAGAGCGACUGCCUCCUAAGCAGUAGGUCGCAGGUUCGAAUCCUGCCGAGGGCG